CUGGCGUUCCCCUGUACCGGGGCACACAAAGUCUGCGUGUCCAAUGGGCCUCUCUUUCCAGUGAUGGCCGACUAGGCCAUCUUUUGAUACAUAUGCAGCUAGAGUCCAGAGCUCAGGGGUACUGGUUAGUUCAUAAUGUUGUUCCACCUAUAGGGUUGAAAAUCCCUUUAGCUCCUUGGGUACUUUCUCUAGCUCCUCCAUUGGGAGCCCUGUGAUCCAUCCAUUAGCUGACUGUGAGCAUCCACUUCUGUGUUUGCUAGGCCCCGGCAUAGUCUCACAAGAGACAGCUACAUCUGGGUCCUUUCAGUAAAAUCUUGCUAGUGUAUGCAAUGGUGUCAGCAUUUGGAAGCUGAUUAUGGGGUGGAUCCCUGGAUAUGGCAGUCUCUACAUGGUCCAUCCUUUCAUCUCAGCUCCAUACUUUGUUUCUGUAAGUCCUUCCAUGGGUGUUAUGUUCCCACUCCAAGUCACACAGGUGAAGAGACAGAAUCUGUGGAACUGAGGUUGUUAUUAAUGUGACAAGCUGAUUCAUGGAUCAUCAGGGAGGAAAAGUGGACUGUAGAAAACCUGUUAUGCGCAUGCUUUAUUUAUCUUCAAUUUGGAGAGUUUGCCAUAAUUGCACCACUAGAAUAUAAAGUGGCAUGAUGAAUUACUAUAAAGGAAAUUGAUGAAUUCUUAACCUUGAGUACAGUUUUGACCUAGAUCCUCGGGUCCAGCUUACUAUCUUUUGGGGGCAGAAGGCCCAUGCCCAAAAGCCAUUGUAUCUACCCUGACACCCUCCUUUAUGACCUUCAGUAUGACCUUUAUACUUGCCUUAUGAUGCCCUUUUGUCUCAUCCCUAUCAGGAGUGAAGGUAUACCCAGUAUUCCUUUGGCUCCUAAUAAGAAUGAGCAGUCAUUUGUAAGCUCUGUUGUUUUCCUAGAGGAAGAAGAAAAUGUGCAGUGUAAAACAAGCGAAUGGUAACUGAACUGGAGUUUUUACCUUGCCAUUUGGAAGGCUUUCCAGGACAGAUGAAAAGCAAGUAUUACAAUCAAAUCUCAUUUAUUUAAACAAUAUUACCCACUUGAUUAGUGAAAAGUUUAUAUUUGCCUGCAAGUGGCAAAAAACUGUGG
rnacentral:lncRNA from 1 species